rnacentral:rRNA from 1 species
CAAAAACAUGUCUUUUUGUAUUUUUUAAAAAGUUUAAUCUGCCCACUGAUAAUUUUAAAUGGCCGCAGUAUAUUAACUGUGCAAAGGUAGCAUAAUCAUUAGUUUUUUAAUUGAAGGCUGGUAUGAAUGAUUGGACGAAAUAUUAACUGUUUUAUAAAAAUUUAUAUUAAAAUUUUAUUUUUUAGUAAAAAAGCUAAAUUGUGAUUAAAAGACGAGAAGACCCUUUAAAUCUUUAUAUUUAAGUUAAUAUAAUUAUUAGGAUUAUUUUUAUUAUAAUAAUUAAUAAUAUUUUAUUGGGGUGAUAUUAAAAUUUAAAAAACUUUUAAUUUAAAAAUCAUUUAUUUAUGAAUUGUUGAUCCUUUAUUAAAGAUUAAAAAUUUAAGUUACUUAAGGGAUAACAGCAUAAUUUUUUUGGAGAGUUCUUAUUGAUAAAAAAGAUUGUGACCUCGAUGUUGGAUUAAAAUAUAAUUUUAGGUGUAGCUGCUUAAAUUUUAAGUCUGUUCGACUUUUAAAUUUUUACAUGAUCUGAGUUUAAACCGGUGUAAGCCAGGUUGGUUUCUAUCUUUAAUAUAUUAAAAUAUUUUAGUACGAAAGGACCUAAUAUUUAAUAGAUUAUUAUUUUUAUAAUGAAUAUUAUUAAUUU